AAUUCCAAUUCCUUGGGACUAUGUGAUGGAAAUGGAGAUUUAGGAGUUUAGAGAACAUGGAGUUAUUUGUUGGAAGCUGAAGACUUUAUUUUAUGGCUUUUUUUAACAAUGGAAGUUGUAUUUUAAAAUUUCAUUUUAUGGACUAUGAUAAUUUGAUUUUAUAUUUCUUUACUUGUAAGUUGUAAUCUUGAAUUUUGUGUUGUAAUUUUCAUUUUGUGGACUAUGUUAAACUUGAUUUUGUGUUGUAAUUUUUAUUUUGUAGUUUUUUUUAUGUUUUUUUUUUAAUUUUUUAUGGUAAUUUUCAUAUAAAUGUUCAAUAUAAGCAGAUGGGGAAUGGGACCCGCGGAGAACACGGGUAACGUGGGGAAUGGGGAUGGGGUAAUUAUCCCCCAUGGCGGGGAAUGGGGCGGGGACGGGGACAAAAUUUGAGGGCGGGGACGG